GACCCCAUAUAUCUCCAUGACCCCAUAACCGCACAUCCCUGUGCCCCACACAUCCCUCUGACCCCAUAACCUUACAUCCCUGUGCCCCACACAUCCCUGUGACCCCAUAUAUCUCCAUGACCCCAUAAGCCCACAUCCCCGUGCCCCACACAUCCCCCCCAUUGCCCCCAUACCCCUCCGACUGCCCCCCAUAACCCCCCACCCCAUAACCCCCCACCCCAUUUCUCACCUGUCAGCACAGCCAGGCAGCCCAGCAGCAGUGGGGCCGCGGUGCCGCGCAUUAUGGGAUCAAUGGGAUCGCAGCGGGGCGGAUCCUAUGGGGAUCCCCACAACUUUGGGGUCCGACGGGGAUUUCCAACAGCUUCCAAUGGGGUCCGACUGGGAGCUCCAGAUAAUGGGAUCCGAUGGGGAUCUUCGGGUUAUGGGGUCCGAUCAGGAUCUCCAAUGGGGUCCAAUGGGGUCCAAUGGGGUCCAAUUAGGAUCUUCAGGUUAUGGGGUCCGAUUAGGAUCUCCAAUGGAGUCCAGUGGGAUGCAAUGGGGUCCAAUGGGAUCCAAUGGGGUCCAAUGGGGUCUGAUUAGGAUCUUCAGGUUAUGGGGUCCGAUUAGGAUCUACAGUGGGCUCCAAUUAGGAUCUUCAGGUUAUGGGGUCCGAUCAGGACCUCCAAUGGGGUCCAAUGGGGUCCAAUGGGAUCCAAUGGGGAUCUUCAGGUUAUGGGGUCCUAUCAGAAUCUCCAGUGGGGUCCAAUGGGAUGCAAUGGGGUCCAAUUAGGAUCUACGGUGGAGUCCAAUUUAGGAUCUCCAAUGGGGUCCAGUGGGAUCCAAUGGAGUCCAAUGGGGUCCAAUUAGGAUUUCCAGGUGAUGGGGCCCAAUUAGGGUCUCCAAUGGGGUCCAAUGGGGUCCAAUUAGGAUCUCCAGGUGAUUGGGUCCGAUUAGGAUCUCCAAUGGGAUCCAAUGGGGCCAGUGGGGUCCAAUGGGAUGCAAAGGGGUCCAAUUAGGAUCUUCAGGUUAUGGGGUCCGAUCAGGAUCUCCAAUGGGAUCCAAU
rnacentral:lncRNA from 1 species